UCACAUUGAAACACCAGUUCCUGUAUGAUCACCAAAGUUAAGCAACAUUGAGCUUGGCCUGUAUCUAGAUGGGUGACUGUUUGGGAAUACUAGUUGCUGAA